rnacentral:rRNA from 1 species
CAUGGCUGUUUCCAGCUCGUGCCGUGAGGUGUUAGGUUAAGUCCUGCAACGAGCGCAACCCCUGUCACUAGUUGCCAUCAUUAAGUUGGGGACUCUAGUGAGACUGCCUACGCAAGUAGAGAGGAAGGUGGGGAUGACGUCAAAUCAUCACGGCCCUUACGCCUUGGGCCACACACGUAAUACAAUGGCCGGUACAGAGGGCAGCUACACAGCGAUGUGAUGCAAAUCUCGAAAGCCGGUCUCAGUUCGGAUUGGAGUCUGCAACUCGACUCUAUGAAGCUGGAAUCGCUAGUAAUCGCGCAUCAGCCAUGGCGCGGUGAAUACGUUCCCGGGCCUUGUACACACCGCCCGUCAAGCCAUGGAAGUCUGGGGUACCUGAAGUCGGUGACCGUAACAGGAGCUGCCUAUGGUAAACCAGAU